rnacentral:pre_miRNA from 1 species
CGCUCGUUCUGAUGGUUGUUAUGCCGAUCCGAGAGAAGAAGCAUCACAACCUCCAAGAAAGAGUAGA